rnacentral:rRNA from 1 species
ACCUGCGGAAGGAUCAUUAUUGAAAUAAACCUGAUGAGUUGCUGCUGGUUCUCUAGGGAGCAUGUGCACACUUGUCGUCUUUAUAUCUCCACCUGUGCACUUUUUGUAGACCUGGAUAUCUCUCUGAAUGCUAGCCAUUCAGGUUUGAGGAUUGACUUUCCGGUCUGUCCUUACAUUUCCAGGCCUAUGUUUCUUCAUAUACCCCAUGUAUGUUUACAGAAUGUAAUAAAUGGGCCUUUGUGCCUAUAAACUUAUACAACUUUCAGCAACGGAUCUCUUGGCUCUCGCAUCGAUGAAGAACGCAGCGAAAUGCGAUAAGUAAUGUGAAUUGCAGAAUUCAGUGAAUCAUCGAAUCUUUGAACGCACCUUGCGCUCCUUGGUAUUCCGAGGAGCAUGCCUGUUUGAGUGUCAUUAAUAUAUCAACCUCUUCAGCUUUUGCUUGUAGAGUGUUGGAUGUGGGGGUUCUUUUGCUGGCCUUCUCCGAGGGUCAGCUCCCCUGAAAUGCAUUAGCGGAACAAUUUGUUGACCGUUCAUUGGUGUGAUAACUAUCUACGCUAUUGACGUGAAGCAAGUUCAGCUUCUAACAGCCCAUUAAAUUGGACAAAUCUUCAUUAAUGUGACCUCAAAUCAGGUAGGACUACCCGCUGAACUUAAGCAUAUCAAUAAGCGGAGGAA